UUACGGCCACAUCACGUUGAAACAAUGUUUCCCGUCCGAUCCCCGAAGUUAAGCUAGGUCGAACCUGGUCAUUACCUAGAUGGGUGAGAGCUUGAGAAUACCAGGUGCUGUAA